UACGUAGGGGGCAAGCGUUGUCCGGAAUCAUUGGGCGUAAAGAGCGUGUAGGCGGCCAGAUAAGUCCGCUGUGAAAUCUCGAGGCUCAACUUCGAGCUGUCGGUGGAAACUGUCUGGCUAGAGUCCGGAAGAGGAGAAUGGAAUUCCUGGUGUAGCGGUGAAAUGCGCAGAUAUCAGGAAGAACACCCGUGGCGAAGGCGGUUCUCUGGGACGGUACUGACGCUGAGACGCGAAAGCUAGGGGAGCAAACGGG
rnacentral:rRNA from 1 species